rnacentral:rRNA from 1 species
AGCAGCCGCGGUAAUUCCAGCUCCAAUAGCGUAUAUUAAUGUUGCUGCAGUUAAAAAGCUCGUAGUUGGAUUUCUGAUGCGGCGCACCUGGCCCGCCACGGUUUCGUGUGUGAGUGCCGGGAUGCGCCUGUCACUUUUCUGGUCAACUAUUGUGCCCUUCACUGGGUGUGAUAGCUAGCCAGAUAUUUUACUUUGAAAAAAU